rnacentral:rRNA from 1 species
UACAGAGGUGGCAAGCGUUGUUCGGAAUUACUGGGCGUAAAGGGCGCGUAGGCGGUUCGUCAAGUCCGGUCUGAAAGCCCCCGGCUCAACCGGGGAAGGUGGCUGGAAACUGGCGCACUGGAGGGCGGCAGAGGCGUGUGGAAUUCCUGGUGUAGCGGUGAAAUGCGUAGAGAUCAGGAAGAACACCGGUGGCGAAAGCGUUCUGCUAGACCUGUACUGACACUGAGGGACGAAAGCUAGGGGAGCGAAUGGG